rnacentral:snRNA from 1 species
AGUGGCCUUGCUGCCACGAUC